UGCUUGCUUCGGCAGCAAUAUACUAAAAUUGGAACGAUACAGAGAAGGUUAGCACAGCCACUGUGCAAGGAUGACACGCAAAUUCGUGAAGCAUUCCAUAUUUUU
rnacentral:snRNA from 1 species